rnacentral:lncRNA from 1 species
GUCUUUUCAAAAUUCAAACACACUCACCCACACAAGCUUCACCCUCUCUCAACAUUUAACCACUUCCUUAUGGCUUCAGCUCCCAGAUCAAGUUCUUUGCUUUCCAAUCUCACAGAUAACUGGCUCCUACUUGCUACUACAACACUCAUUUGUGUAUUUGCAGGUUAUGUUGUUUAUGACGCUGUAAUGGCCACUGUGUCUGAGCUGCUGCAACGCUUGCUGGUGAUUUCGCCUUUGCUGUUAGUGAUUGUGGUUCAUUGGCUAUCCACAGGCAGCCAGGUCAACAUUGGGAUUCCAGGGUCUGAGCCAGGAGCUAUCCACAGAGCUGGGGGAUCACCUUGGGGUGUGGCCUUUGUUCUAGUACUGCUGUUCUUUCUCAUAUCGUAUCAGCCUUCUUUCCUUGGCCUUCUUGUGUAGCUCAAUGUCUUUCUGUUCAGAAGGCAAGUAUCAAUAACAUUAUGUCAGCUUCUAUCUGAUGAGCUGAGAUAUUAUGUAAUUCCUAUUACCAUGCUUGUUAUAUAAUCAGUAAUUGAUCUUUCAAAGAGUAUGCUUGAGUCUGUUCACUUUUACAUUAUAACAUGGCAGGAGCUAACCAUGCAUAGUUACCCUACUUACCUAAGUGUCAGAUCUUAGCUUGAGCUUGAUAUACUUCUUCUGCUAGGAAAACUACUAAAACUAGGCAGUGA